AGAUGAAUGCGUGUGCUGACUACGACAUUGGUUCUCCGACUGUUACCCAGCUUCGAGCAGAUGCACCUCCAGAGUACUGGUGGUUAGUAGGCACGGGGUUGGUGCUCUUUUUUAUCACCACAUUUGUAUGGAUACGGGAAUUCUCACGACACUCCAGAGUAGGCGAGGGCUCUGUACUUCGUCAACCCACUUUGGUUAUGAUAUCACUAUACUGGGUGUUUUCAGCAUCGAGCUUACUGGGGAUGUGCUUCACUAGAGGAGGACAGUUUCUUCACUGCAUAGCUAACAC